GACCGCUCCAGUGGCCUAAGUGAUUCGAGUGUCCGCAUCAGAUGCGGGAGAUCGCGGGUUCGAACCCCGGCUGAGUCG